rnacentral:rRNA from 1 species
CGAAGUGGUUUGAGCUAGAUAUAACUGUAAUAUUAGUAUUUGUGUAUGGUGUGGCAAAAUGAUAUCAAAAGUUAUGUGUAGGGGUGAUAGGCCUAUCAAAAACCAGGAUAGCUUGAUUCUAAUGAAAGGUAUUUAGUACAAUAUUAUACAUUUAUUAAGUGGCGAGGCUUAUUAAAAAUAUAAAGGUAUAUUAAUAGGUGUAUAUUAAUUUAUAAUAAAAAAAUAUAUAGUUAUAAUAUUAUUCCACUUUAAUUGUUUAUAAAUAUUAAUUAGAUGUAGCUAAGCUUUGUAUGUUUUAAUAAUGUUAGUAUUAGUAUAUUACGCUGGGUUUAUUUAAGGAACUCGGCAAAAAUGUUUCUCAACUGUUUAUCAAAAACAUAACUAUGUGUAACUAUACAUAGCUUUUUCUGCUCAAUGAUUAUAUUAAAUAGCCGCAGUA